CAGUCGCCGCGGUAUACGGAGGGAGCUAGCGUUAUUCGGAAUUACUGGGCGUAAAGCGUGCGCAGGCGGUGUUGUAAGACUGAUGUGAAAUCCCCGGGCUCAACCUGGGAACUGCAUUGGUGACUGCAACGCUGGAGUGCGGCAGAGGGGGAUGGAAUUCCGCGUGUAGCAGUGAAAUGCGUAGAUAUGCGGAGGAACACCGAUGGCGAAGGCAAUCCCCUGGGCCUGCACUGACGCUCAUGCACGAAAGCGUGGGGAGCAAACAGGAUUAGAUACCCCCGUAGUCCCUGUCUCUUAUACC
rnacentral:rRNA from 1 species